UAGGAAUACCACGGGAGCUUGCGUUCCGUUGAACAGUGAAUGCAACAGAUGAUUGUGGAACAGGAAAAGCAAUGGUUGAAAGCAGUUCACGAGAAUGGACGACAUUUUCUGGAUCAGAGUCCAAGCCGGGAUCCAAAGAGGACUCCCGAGGCUUCUGACUUAUUUGCAUAAUGGUUGAUAAAUGUACCGUUCAUGUAAUUCUAAAAUCUCUGUUCUCUAAUCAAUGGCUGAGAUCCUCUUUAUCAGAGCCUAAUUCCAUUAUAGGAAUAAUGCGAAAAUUUGCGUUCUAUUGAUGCAAGGAGGCUAUGGAUGCAAGGGAUGAUAGACGAAUAGCCUCGCACGGAACCCGAUACAGCAGUAUGGAUGCAUGGAUGAAGAUGAGCUGGAAAAGCAAUACUAAGCGAACCAGUUCACAGCAAUCCCAACGACUACCUAUCAGAGUCAGUCUUGUUUGAAAUAAAUAUGCAAAUAUCGCUCGUGCACUCGCCACACUCCACGCUCUCGCACCAUUACUAGCAUCUAUGGCACCAACAAGCACCACACCCCUCUUCUUAGUUAAUUGCUAUCUUCUACAACGAUGGUGGGAACACCAAACGUGACGACGUACCCCGGUGGGUUUUCUGUUGAGCCGCUAUCCUUACAUGUGUCACAGAACCGGCUGCCUCAUUGCGGUGGAACAACAAUUGCCUUGCAACCAUAAACAACCGAAGCCGCGCGUCUCAAAGCCACUCUCAUACGCCCAAUCCCACAAUGA